GGGAGGUAGUGACAAUAAAUAACAAUACGGGGCUCAUUUGGGUCUCGUAAUUGGAAUGAGUACAAUUUAAAUCCCUUAACGAGGAACAAUUGGAGGGCAAGUCUGGUGCCAGCAGCCGCGGUAAUUCCAGCUCCAAUAGCGUAUAUUAAAGUUGUUGCAGUUAAAAAGCUCGUAGUUGAACUUCGGGGUCUACCCAUUGGUCAGGCUUAAUUGUCUGUACUGGUGAGAUGAAUCUCUACCUUCUGAGGAACUUUCAUGCCAUUUAUUUGGUGUGAUUGGAAAUCAGGACUGUUACUUUGAAAAAAUUAGAGUGUUUAAAGCAGGCUAACGUCUGAAUACAUUAGCAUGGAAUAAUGAAAUAGGACGGACUGAUUCUAUUUCGUUGGUUUCUAGGAUCACCGUAAUGAUUAAUAGGGAUAGUUGGG
rnacentral:rRNA from 1 species